GCAUUAAUGGGGUAGUGGUAACCUGGGUCGUUGCCAUUAUGUGUGUUCGACCCGCCGGGGGUUCGAUUCCCUCUUAAUGCA